rnacentral:rRNA from 1 species
CUCCUACGGAGGCAGCAGUGGGGAAUCUUGCACAAUGGACGAAAGUCUGAUGCAGCAACGCCGCGUGGGGGAUGAAGCUUUUCGGAGUGUAAACCCCUUUCGACCCGGAAGAAUGCCCGCAAGGGUUUGACGGUACGGGUAUAAGAAGCCCCGGCUAACUACGUGCCAGCAGCCGCGGUAAUUC